CAAGACAACUUUACGGAGUUGACGAUUGACGGAGCGAAGCGACGUCAAAGCGUUCAUUAAAGUCGAGUUGGCUUAGGGAUACGUUCGUUGGGUAGGGGAGCGUUCUGUAAGCCUGUGAAGGUGUGUCGUGAGGCAUGCUGGAGGUAUCAGAAGUGCGAAUGCUGACAUAAGUAACGAUAAAGCGGGUGAAAAGCCCGCUCGCCGGAAGACCAAGGGUUCCUGUCCAACGUUAAUCGGGGCAGGGUGAGUCGACCCCUAAGGCGAGGCCGAAAGGCGUAGUCGAUGGGAAACGGGUUAAUAUUCCCGUACUUGGUGUUACUGCGAAGGGGGGACGGAGAAGGCUAUGUUGGCCGGGCGACGGUUGUCCCGGUUUAAGCGUGUAGGUGUGUGUUCCAGGUAAAUCCGGUUCACUUUAACACUGAGGCGUGACGACGAGGCACUACGGUGCUGAAGCAACAAAUGCCCUGCUUCCAGGAAAAGCCUCUAAGCAUCAGGUAACACGAAAUCGUACCCCAAACCGACACAGGUGGUCAGGUAGAGAAUACCAAGGCGCUUGAGAGAACUCGGGUGAAGGAACUAGGCAAAAUGGUGCCGUAACUUCGGGAGAAGGCACGCUGACACGUAGGUGAAGUGAUUUACUCAUGGAGCUGAAGUCAGUCGAAGAUACCAGCUGGCUGCAACUGUUUAUUAAAAACACAGCACUGUGCAAACACGAAAGUGGACGUAUACGGUGUGACGCCUGCCCGGUGCCGGAAGGUUAAUUGAUGGGGUCAGCGCAAGCGAAGCUCCUGAUCGAAGCCCCGGUAAACGGCGGCCGUAACUAUAACGGUCCUAAGGUAGCGAAAUUCCUUGUCGGGUAAGUUCCGACCUGCACGAAUGGCGUAAUGAUGGCCAGGCUGUCUCCACCCGAGACUCAGUGAAAUUGAACUCGCUGUGAAGAUGCAGUGUACCCGCGGCAAGACGGAAAGACCCCGUGAACCUUUACUAUAGCUUGACACUGAACAUUGAGCCUUGAUGUGUAGGAUAGGUGGGAGGCUUUGAAGUGUGGACGCCAGUCUGCAUGGAGCCGACCUUGAAAUACCACCCUUUAAUGUUU
rnacentral:rRNA from 2 species